rnacentral:rRNA from 1 species
AUACGGAGGGGACAAGCGUUAUUCGGAAUCACUGGGCGUAAAGGACGCGUAGGCGGGUUAUUAAGUCGGGUGUGAAAUCCAAUGGCUCAACCAUUGAACUGCAUUCGAAACUGAUAACCUAGAGUAUGGGAGGGGCAGGUGGAAUUAGUGGUGUAGGGGUAAAAUCCGUAGAUAUCACUAGGAAUACCGAAAGCGAAGGCGACCUGCUGGGACAUUACUGACGCUGAGGCGUGAAAGCGUGGGGAGCAAACAGGAUUAGAAACCCCAGUAGUCC